rnacentral:rRNA from 1 species
GACGAACGCUGGCGGCGUGCCUAAUACAUGCAAGUCGAACGCAGUGGGGACGGGUGAGUAACACGUGGGUAACCUCCCAUCAGAGGGGAUAACACUUGGAAACAGGUGCUAAACCGAUACUGAUGGAUGGACCCGCGGUGCAUUAGCUAGUUGGUGAGGUAACGGCUCACCAAGGCCACGAUGCAUAGCCGACCUGAGAGGGUGAUCGGCCACACUGGGACUGAGACACGGCCCAGACUCCUACGGGAGGCAGCAGUAGGGAAUCUUCCGCAAUGGACGAAAGCCUGACCGAGCAACGCCGCGUGAGUGAAGAAGGUUUUAGGAUUGUAAAACUCUGUUGUUAGAGAGGCGUUACCUAACGAGAAAGCACCGGCUAACUCCGUGCCAGCCGCCGCGGUAAUAC